AUGGGACUCUCAGCCUUUUGGCUAAGAUCAAGUGUAGUAUCUGUUCUUAUCAGUUUAAUAUCUGAUAUGUCAUUAAUGAGAGGUCUUUAUAUUAAACGGAUUUUUGGUCUUGGGAGUUGAAUCUGGAGUUUGCUCCCUCCACUCCACACAUCAUCCUAGUAUUGUAGUACUUCCAGGAAUGGUGCACCUCCU